UUAAUAUUAGCUGAAUAGCUUUAGACUUUUGAUCUAAAAGUGGGGUUCCCCAUAUUAAU
rnacentral:tRNA from 1 species